rnacentral:rRNA from 1 species
AUUGAACGCUGGCGGAAUGCUUUACACAUGCAAGUCGAACGGCAGCCCGGGAGCUUGCUCCUGGUGGCGAGUGGCGAACGGGUGAGUAAUAUAUCGGAACGUAUCCAAUAAUGGGGGAUAACUAAUCGAAAGGUUGGCUAAUACCGCAUACGCCCUGAGGGGGAAAGCUGGGGAUCUUCGGACCUAGCGUUAAUGGAGCGGCCGAUAUCUGAUUAGCUAGUUGGGGAGGUAAAAGCUCACCAAGGCGACGAUCAGUAGCUGGUCUGAGAGGACGACCAGCCACACUGGAACUGAGACACGGUCCAGACUCCUACGGGAGGCAGCAGUGGGGAAUUUUGGACAAUGGGGGAAACCCUGAUCCAGCCAUUCCGCGUGAGUGAAGAAAGCCUUCGGGUUGUAAAGCUCUUUCGCAAGGGAAGAAACGCUACCGGUGAAUAUCCGGUGAUAAUGACGGUACCUUGAUAAGAAGCACCGGCUAACUACGUGCCAGCCGCCGCAGUAA